rnacentral:rRNA from 1 species
UACGUAGGGUGCAAGCGUUAUCCGGAAUUAUUGGGCGUAAAGCGUUUGUAGGCGGUUAAGUAAGUUUGUGGUUAAAUCCGGUCGCUCAACGAUCGAUCCGCCACAAAAACUGCUCAACUAGAGAUCAGCAGAGGCAACUGGAAUGUCGCAUGUAGGGGUAAAAUCCGUUGAUAUGCGAUGGAACACCAAAAGCGAAGGCAGGUUGCUGGGCUGUUUCUGACGCUGAGAAACGAAAGCGUGGGGAGCAAACAGG